GGCUGCAACUCGCCUGCAUGAAGCCGGAAUUGCUAGUAAUCGCGGAUAAGCAUGCCGCGGUGAAUACGUUCCCGGGUCUUGUACACACCGCCCGUCACACCACGAGAGUUUGUAACACCCGAAGUCGGUGAGGCAACCUUUUGGAGCCAGCCGCCUAAGGUGGGACAAAUGAUUGGGGUGAAGUCGUAACAAGGUAGCCGUAUCGGAAGGUGCGGCUGGAUCACCUCCCUUCUAUGGAG
rnacentral:rRNA from 1 species